rnacentral:rRNA from 1 species
GAUGAACGCUAGCGGCGUGCCUAAUACAUGCAAGUCGAGCGAAGCGAGGGCGGGUGAGUAACACGUGGAUACCCACCUCUAAGACUGAGAUAACUUCGGCAAACCGGAGCUAAACCGGCUCCUUAUAGAUGGAUCCGCGCUGCAUUAGUUAGUUGGUAAGGUAACGGCUUACCAAGGCAACGAUGCAGAGCCGACCUGAGAGGGGGAUCGGCCACACUGGAACUGAGACACGGUCCAGACUCCUACGGGAGGCAGCAGUGGGGAAUUUUCCGCAAUGGGCGAAAGCCUGACGGAGCAACGCCGCGUGAGUGAUGAAGGUCUUCGGAUUGUAAAACUCUGUUAGGAGGGAAGCGGUACCUAAUCAGAAAGCCACGGCUAACUACGUGCCAGCAGCCGCGGUAAUUC